CUUACUUCUCUUGGUAUGGCUGGAGCCUAGAGCCCAGUGUGGGGAAUUACAAAAGAUACUGUCAUUGGGAAAAUGACUGCUAACUAAUGAUAAAUUUAAAAUUGGGAUACAGAAAUGUAGCUACCAAAUGACCUCAGCGUCGCAGAAGAAGACGUUAUAACAGCUGGUGCUGUCGCCAUCUUGAGAAGGAGCAAACCUUUCAAAGAGCUGUUUUCUUUACCUCAAGAAGUGCAUUUCUCACUGGUGAAGGGAGAAUAGUCGAUAGAUCAAGACCAGAAGUUUUAUGAUGAUUUCUCAGGGAAGAGACUGCCCAGGGUGCUUUGGGGGCCUGUUCCGUCUGUCUCCCUGCUGCUCCUGGCUCUCUGCAGAAUUUAGCAGAUUAAUCACUGUGCUCCAUCCCAGACUCUGUUAUUUUUAGCUUUGUUGACUUCUCCACGGUAGGCAAUAGGCAAACAACCGUGCACUGGCCUAAGUACCCUGCAGGUGGGCAAGGGAGCCCUGGCAGAGGGCAGCAGCCCUGCUGCGGGAAGAGGACCGCUCUCCCCCAGGGGAAGCAUGGCUUGGUAUCUCAGCUAGGAAUAUUGAGAGAAGACGGAACCAGGCUAAAGGCUCCGGGGACUCGAGGCUGGCUCCACCUAGAAUGCUGUGGGGUUUCAACGGCUUUCUGUAAAGAACUGUGCCAUCUGUGAAGGAAUGGAUGCAUCAUGGCCCUCACCUGGCCUGUGAACUCUUGAUGUCAUGGCAGCUGGGCCGCCCCUCACUCGGGUACCCUAACUCUGAGUCUGGUGUGACUGCUUUUCCCUUUGGUCACCCUGGCCCAUCACCGUGGUCACUGCCCAGCAUCCCGUUUACCUCACUCGUUGCCACUUUUACCCUGUCUACUUCUUUCCUUCAACCUUUCCUCUGGGGAAUUGCUUUAGAGCCUCAGCCUUUUUCCGCAUGUCUCACCUUGUGCUCUUUUAAUUAAAAAAAUUUUUUAGGCCACCUUUAAGGUGGAAUUGGCAAAUAGGAAUUGCAUAUA